rnacentral:rRNA from 1 species
UACGAAGGGUGCUAGCGUUGUUCGGAAUUACUGGGCGUAAAGCGUACGUAGGCGGCUUAGUAAGUCGAUUGUGAAAGCCCCAAGCUCAACUUGGGAAUUGCAACCGAAACUGCUUCGCUGGAGUUUGGUGGGGGAUGGUGGAAUUUCUAGUGUAGGGGUGAAAUCCGUAGAUAUUAGAAGGAAUACCGGUGGCGAACGCGACCAUCUACGCCAAUACUGACGCUGAGGUACGAAAGCGUGGGGAGCAAACAGG